CCUAUGCAGACGUAGUGCCGGUACAGCGUCAGUUGUGGUUGUGGUGCUCAUCUCAUUUUACCAGAAAGCAAUAAACACUACAUAUGUAGUCCUACAAUAGAGGCGUCAUAUCAGAUUAAUAUCUGUGGGUCAAGUGUUCGCUCCGCUUUUAUAGCAGUGCAAUAAACAUUACAUUUGUAUUUCUAUGAUUGAGCAAGUUAUAUUGAAGCAUUGCUCGACCACGGACGAAUACAUCAAUGAAAGUUAGAUAUGAUAUUCACGCGAUUGCACCAUAAAAUGCCCUUAGUUUCUUAGUACUGACCUAUGUACUCUAACGUGAGCGCUGACGUUACGUCGCACCAUAAGUUACCCUUUAAACACCACUGUUGUCGACGUGCCUGGUAAGCUCACGAUGUGCACACAGCUACUACGAUUACAAGAACACGUAAAUCCACCUUGUAACGCUUAGCUCAAAGCCAUGAAAUACAGCAGUGAGGUAUUCACCGACUGCUUCGGAUGAAACGGAUUCCCACAACGCAUGGAAUCUGCCGAAUUUUCGCUGCAAUUCACGCAUAUUAUAAAAUAACUAAGUGCUCUCACGCGUCUUAUUGGUACGCAUUAUUCCUUACUUCCCGAGCGUCAUUCUCCUUUUCUAUAUAAAUUUAUAUGAACAUUUCUGUGAAUACUAAACGCUAGACUAACAUUUCAUUGCAUUCAAAUAAGUUUGGGUGUGUGUCAUAGAUGACAGUGGUCCGCUUUGAAAGACGAUGAUUGUCGUAAAGCAGGCCAAUUUCAAACCGAACCUUCACGAAUAAAAAGCUUUGUGAAUAUAGCUGAUCCUCAAGCGAAUUGUUGGAACCGUCUGUGCCUAAUCAGAUUUUAAAGCUACUUGUUUUGAUGCGCUUUUUGAUGCUUACGUAAAAACGAUAUUAAACAUUUUUUGUCUCCUCUUUCCCCUCCCUAGCUCCUCCUCCAGUUCUAGCAGCCAGUAAGCAGCGAAUGCCGUCAUAGCUUGGGUUGCUUACGUCAACGCGAUUCAUGGUGCGUCCUCGGCCUUUUAAAAAACGGAGUCAUAAGAUUAUCCGGUGCAGUGAACCAACACAAUUUGGAACUAUUUCGCUAACUUCUGAGACAUCAAUAAAAUAACGUAUUCCAGUGCAACUAAA